UCGGGUUGUAAAGCACUUUUGUCCGGAAAGAAAACUUCUGCAUUAAUACUGCGGGAGGAUGACGGUACCGGAAGAAUAAGCACCGGCUAACUACGUGCCAGCAGCGCGGUAAUCGUAGGGUGCGAGCGUUAAUCGGAAUUACUGGGCGUAAAGCGUGCGCAGGCGGUUCGUUAAGACAGAUGUGAAAUCCCCGGGCUUAACCUGGGAGCUGCAUUUGUGACUGGCGAGCUAGAGUAUGGCAGAGGGUGGUAGAAUUCCACGUGUAGCAGUGAAAUGCGUAGAGAUGUGGAGGAAUACCGAUGGCGAAGGCAGCCCCCUGGGCCAAUACUGACGCUCAUGCACGAAAGCGUGGGGAGCAAACAGGAUUAGAUACCCUGGUAGUCCACGCCCUAAACGAUGUCAACUAGUUGUUGGGGAUUCAUUUCCUUAGUAACGUAGCUAACGCGUGAAGUUGACCGCCUGGGGAGUACGGUCGCAAGAUUAAAACUCAAAGGAAUUGACGGGGACCCGCACAAGCGGUGGAUGAUGUGGAUUAAUUCGAUGCAACGCGAAAAACCUUACCUACCCUUGACAUGGUCGGAACCCUGCUG
rnacentral:rRNA from 1 species